rnacentral:sRNA from 1 species
GGAGAGGCCCCUCCUCAGGAAAUGCGCCCGUGGAAUGCUCUACCCUCUUCCGCAGCCAGUCGCCCCUGGCCUUCCCAACCUCGCGGGUGCCCAAAGGACCUGUUGUGCCGGGUCCGGAAAGCGUGAUUCGCUCCCUUUCCCUUGAGGGAGUGGGGAGGGAAUGUGAGUCUUUUCGCCCAGGGACGUGGACUCGCGGCUUGUGGCUCCCAAGUUAGGGAGUGAGGGGAUCGCCCGCCGAGGGGGUGGCUCCGCAGCCCGGCUACGCGAGACGCUUCCCGCUCAGGGACCCGCCUUCCGAGGCCAGGUGAACGUUACCGGCCCCCUGACCUCCAGCAGAUCCACACGUUUGCUGGAGACUGAACCAUUGCAAGGAAGAGAUGAAGAUGCAGUAGCCAGUGCUGACUUCUCUAGCAUGCUUUCUGAGGAGGAAAAGGAAGAGUUAAAAGCAGAGUUAGUUCAGCUAGAAGACGAAAUUACAACACUACGACAAGUUUUGUCAGCGAAAGAAAGGCAUCUAGUUGAGAUAAAACAAAAACUCGGCAUGAACCUGAUGAAUGAAUUAAAACAGAACUUCAGCAAAAGCUGGCAUGACAUGCAGACUACCACUGCCUACAAGAAAACACAUGAAACCCUGAGUCACGCAGGGCAGAAGGCAACUGCAGCUUUCAGCAACGUUGGAACGGCCAUCAGCAAGAAGUUUGGAGACAUGAGGUCUCACUCCAUCGGGUAAGCGCCACAGGGCUGCGUGUGGGGCUUUGCCCACUCCCUUGCUGCCCCCUUGCUUUCCAGGGCUCCCUGUUUCUUUCACACUGUGCCUGAACCAACAAAACUACACUCUAUUUUCCAGAGAGUGUCCCUGGCCAGGAAGAUAGUUUAUAGGGCACUUAAUACAUUUGAACUUAUUGAAGUACAUCUCUGUCUCAUUUCUGAAUCAUUUACACCAUUUCACUUGCUGAGCAAUCUCUCAGGAGUCUCUUUCUCUGCACCAUUUCUUCCGGUGUUGACAGAGGUUCUUAGAAUUGAAAGAAGAAGAAAAAAAACAAAGUGGAGAUUGAAAGUUAUGUAUGUUUCCUAAAACUUCUAGAAAGUAAAGUUGAGAAACAAAAACAGAUUUUCUCUAGAUUGUCAUGUUUCUCUGAAUUUCUUGUACCCGUAAUUUGUGUUGAUGUUUCACCUUCAACUUUCUGUGCCUUCUGAAGUUGAAGGGAAGAAAGGUACUGGAAAAGCACGUAUGUUAAGAAGGUUGCGAUUAUUAGUCCUAAUGCCCCGAAUUAAGCCUUCUUUUAGCUGGAAUCUUAUUAUAUACUUUUAUUUUUUUAAUUUUUUCCUAAGAAAGCGGUCUAUAUUUACAGAGAUACACCAAUUGGUAAUGCAGAUGAGGCUCUUUUAGUGAUGCUUUUGAAGUGUAAUUUCUGAGGAAAUAUCUGCCUAAUAGUUUCUAAAUGGAGUGUCUAGAGUAAGACCGUAAGUAUCCCAUGAAUUUCUUUGUCCUUUUCUUUCUAUGUUCUAGCAAAGUGCUACCCAUACUAAUGCCCUCAGUGGAUAUUAUCAGGGAAGGGUGACAGAUUUGGUCCCUGAACUACUAGCUCCUUGAGAGAAGAGAAAGCAGGGAGGCUGUUGAAAAGUGUGAGGUGGGAGCCAACACUAGACCAGGAAAAUGGACCCAUUGUGCUCCUCCCCUUGCCCAGCCUGAUUUCUGAGUGGAACUCAAUAGAAAUCAACCAGAGGGAAGAUGAAUCAGCUACUAGGAUUAAUAGGAUGAGAAGUCUAAAUCUCUUAAAAUUCUCAGGAAUGUUUGUAUUUGUACCAGAUGUUCUUGACAAUCAUCUAGUACAAAUCAAUCAUCUUGACAAUCAAACCAGAAUGGAUGCAGAAGUCCCUAUGGCCUAUGAGAACUGUGUUUGCCUGGCAUGUGCUUCCUUGAAAGUCUUAUGUUCAUUUCUUGCUUUCCUCUGGCCAGUUUCUCUACAAUGGAAUGAUUAGCUUCUACCUGCCUGGCUCUAUUUCCUGGAUACUGCCUUUUGCUCCUUACUGUCUGCCUGAGCAGAAGGGAGUAGAGAUCUAGGUUGGGCCUGGAGAAGAUGCCCAUGGGCUACUGGGCUCACCUGGAAGAAACCAGACAUUCUCAGAUUUCCUGGCAAAAGGAGGCUGCAGAAAGUAAAAUAAUAUGCAACCGUGGAUCCACCAUCUGCUUUUCAUUUAUACCCUUGAAAGCUGACUAUGCCCAUUAUACCCAAUGAAACAAAUAUCAUCUUGGUUGGAUGGGCAGGGAAUAUUUCAGAUAUUUGGAAUUGCUGUUUUAGAACUGCGAAUAGGGAGUUUUUCAUGUACUUAUGUGUGCUCUCUUCUUUUUUCUUUUUUCCCCUUUAUUCUGCUUUUGCUCUGAAGCUACUCCAUUCGCCAUUCCAUAAGUAUGCCUGCUAUGAGGUAAUGUGUGUAAAAUAUUUUAUGUAAUAUUAAUAUGAAAUGUG